AUGGCUCAGGACGAACGCUGGCGGCGUGCCUAACACAUGCAAGUCGAGCGAGAAUCUUCCAUUGGAGCCCUUCGGGGCGAAGAAGGAAGAGGAGAGCGGCGGACGGGUGAGUAACGCGUGAGCAACCUGCCUUAAGGAGGGGGAUAACACAGGGAAACCUGUGCUAAUACCGCAUAAAAUAUAUUUACCGCAUGGUAGAUAUAUCAAAACUGAGGUGCCUUAAGAUGGGCUCGCGUCCAAUUAGCUAGUUGGAGGGGUAACGGCCCACCAAGGCAACGAUUGGUAGCCGGACUGAGAGGUUGAACGGCCACAUUGGAACUGAGAAACGGUCCAGACUCCUACGGGAGGCAGCAGUGGGGGAUAUUGCGCAAUGGGGGAAACCCUGACGCAGCAACGCCGCGUGAAGGAAGAAGGCCUUCGGGUUGUAAACUUUUGUCUUUUGGGAAGAAGAAUGACGGUACCAAAGGAGGAAGCCACGGCUAACUACGUGCCAGCAGCCGCGGUAAUACGUAGGUGGCGAGCGUUGUCCGGAAUUACUGGGUGUAAAGGGCGUGUAGGCGGGCAGAUAAGUCAGAUGUGAAAUACCGGGGCUCAACCCCGGGGCUGCAUUUGAAACUGUAUGUCUUGAGUGCCGGAGAGGAAAGCGGAAUUCCUAGUGUAGCGGUGAAAUGCGUAGAUAUUAGGAGGAACACCAGUGGCGAAGGCGGCUUUCUGGACGGUAACUGACGCUGAGGCGCGAAAGCGUGGGGAGCAAACAGGAUUAGAUACCCUGGUAGUCCACGCUGUAAACGAUGAAUACUAGGUGUAGGGGGUAUCGACUCCCCCUGUGCCGCAGUCAACACAAUAAGUAUUCCACCUGGGGAGUACGACCGCAAGGUUGAAACUCAAAGGAAUUGACGGGGACCCGCACAAGCAGUGGAGUAUGUGGUUUAAUUCGAAGAUACGCGAAGAACCUUACCAGGGCUUGACAUCCCUCUGACCGCGCUAGAGAUAGCGUUUCUCUUCGGAGCAGAGGUGACAGGUGGUGCAUGGUUGUCGUCAGCUCGUGUCGUGAGAUGUUGGGUUAAGUCCCGCAACGAGCGCAACCCUUAUCGUUAGUUGCCAGCACAUAAAGGUGGGCACUCUAGCGAGACUGCCGAUGACAAAUCGGAGGAAGGUGGGGAUGACGUCAAAUCAUCAUGCCCCUUAUGUCCUGGGCUACACACGUACUACAAUGGCCAUUAACAACGGGGAGCGAAGCCGCGAGGCGGAGCAAAUCCCAAAACAUGGUCUCAGUUCAGAUUGCAGGCUGAAACUCGCCUGUAUGAAGACGGAAUUGCUAGUAAUCGCGAAUCAGAAUGUCGCGGUGAAUACGUUCCCGGGUCUUGUACACACCGCCCGUCACACCAUGAGAGUCGGUAACACCCGAAGCCUGUAGCCUAACCUUAGGGAGGGCGCAGUCGAAGUGGGAUUGAUGAUUGG
rnacentral:rRNA from 1 species